rnacentral:tRNA from 1 species
GCUGGCGUAGCUCAGCAGGUAGAGCAACUGAUUUGUAAUCAGUGGGUCGGGGGUUCAAAUCCCUUCGCCAGCUCCA